GGGUCUUUUGUGGUUCCAUACAAAUUUUAGGAUUGCUUGUUCCAACUCUGUGAAAAAUGCUGGUGAUAUUCUGAUAGGGAAUGCAUUAAAUGUUUAGAUUGCUGUGGGUAGUAUAGACAUUUUAACAAUACUUCUUCUUCCAAUUCAUGAGCGUGGAAUGUUUUUCCAUUUCUUUGUGUCCUCUUGAAUUUCUUUCAUAAGUGUUCUAAAAUUUUC